AGCUGCGUGGUGAGCACAAAGCGAACUAUUCUUUCGCCUUUUACUAAAGAAUACCGUGUGCAUGUCACAUUAAGCAGCAUACACUAAUUUUUAAAGGGUGUUUUCUCCUUGUGAGAAGGC
rfam:Triticum urartu cultivar G1812 contig573008, whole genome shotgun sequence.